rnacentral:rRNA from 1 species
GACGAACGCUGGCGGCGUGCCUAAUACAUGCAAGUAGAACGCUGAAGCUUGGUGCUUGCACCGAGCGGAUGAGUUGCGAACGGGUGAGUAACGCGUAGGUAACCUGCCUGGUAGCGGGGGAUAACUAUUGGAAACGAUAGCUAAUACCGCAUAAGAGUAGAUGUUGCAUGACAUUUGCUUAAAAGGUGCAAUUGCAUCACUACCAGAUGGACCUGCGUUGUAUUAGCUAGUUGGUGAGGUAACGGCUCACCAAGGCGACGAUACAUAGCCGACCUGAGAGGGUGAUCGGCCACACUGGGACUGAGACACGGCCCAGACUCCUACGGGAGGCAGCAGUAGGGAAUCUUCGGCAAUGGACGGAAGUCUGACCGAGCAACGCCGCGUGAGUGAAGAAGGUUUUCGGAUCGUAAAGCUCUGUUGUAAGAGAAGAACGAGUGUGAGAGUGGAAAGUUUCA